UACGUAGGGCGCAAGCGUUGUCCGGAUUCACUGGGUGUAAAGGGUUCGUAGGCGGGAAGGUAAGUCCGCGGUGAAAUCUCACAGCUCAACUGUGAAACUGCCGUUGAUACUGCUUUUCUUGAGUUCGGGAGAGGUUGAUGGAAUUCCAGGUGUAGCGGUGAAAUGCGUAGAUAUCGGGAGGAACACCUGUGGCGAAGGCGGCCCCCUGGUCGGAUACUGACGCUGAGACGCGAAAGCGUGGGGAGCAAACAGG
rnacentral:rRNA from 1 species